rnacentral:tRNA from 1 species
GCUCUGGUGGUGGAAAGGUAGACACGGUUGAUUCAAAAUCAAUUGCUUAUAUGCGUGGAGGUUCAAAUCCUCUUCAGAGCA